AAUCGAAAAAUGAGGAAAUGACGAAAAACCUUUGCGAAACCACGAAAACUUAAUUUGUUGGGCUCGGGCCCAAAGAAAAAUGUAAAUACUCGGCCCAGUUGUAUUAUUUACCCUACAAACUACAGAAAAAACCUAAGUAAAAACCUAAUUCUUCCCCCUUUUCACUUCUCGACUUCUUCCUCUUCUCUCCGUCGUCGUCUUCUCUUCUCUCGUCUCCGACGACACCACCAAUUUCAGUUCGUCUUUGUCUCUUUCAUAUGGCUAGAGUAAAAGACUCAUCUGGAGAAUAUGAAUCAACAGAAGAGGAAGCCGGAGAAAUUCAGCCUACAACCGGCGAUUGUGACGCCGCCGAUUUGGGUAAUUCAAACGCCGUCGCAUGGGAAUCAAAUGACGAUCUUUCAGACCCAAAUGCCGAUUCUUGUGCAGAAGAAGAAGAGGCAACGAAUGCAGUUGUUCAACAUGAUGAUGGAGCAAAUAAGGUAUGAUAGAAGACCGUUAUUUUUUUGAUUAGGCUCGUUUUAGGAUAUUAUGCAUGCAUUGGUAAAUGAUUGGAUUUGUGAAUGGUGCUUCAGAUAAAACAAGUAGUACAACUAGGUCGUAAAUUUGUGAAUGGUCAUUCAGGAACAAGUAGUACAACUAGGUAGUUAAUGUGAAAUUGAAAGUAUUUUGAAUUGAAUAUGCAGGAUGAUGGUGAUGAUGAUAACCUGCCGCAGAAUAUGCAGGAUGGUGAUGAUGAUCUUCAGCCGCAGAAUAUGCAGGAUGAUGAUGAUGAUGAUGAUGAUAAUCAACCAUUGCCGCCAGAAGUUAUGUACUUUGAUCCAACUACCUACACGAAGGUGUGUAAGAUAGGAACGAGGUGUCAGUUGGUACAAACAGUGGAAUUUAUAGAGACUUUGGAUGCAGAACUGAAGUGGUUUAAGAAUCAUGACCAAUUUAAGCACAUAUUCCACAUGCCUAAGGAGCCCAAUCACAUGAUUCAAGGCAUGUGGAUGCUUAUGGUUCGCACGGCUAAGACAGAAUUGGCGAGAGAGUGUUGGUUUGUUGUCAAUGGAGUACCUAUAAGGUACUCAAUUAGAGAGCAUGCAUUGUUGACCGGUUUGAACUGCCGUGAGUACCCAAAAAACUAUAAGACUUUAGGCAGUUUGAAGUUUGUUGAGAAGUUGUUUAAGAGGACUGAGGACAUCAAGAUUAAAGACGUGGAAGAGAAGCUGGAAGAGUUUAAGAGUGAGAAGUCUACUGCUAGGUUGAAGUUGACAAUUCUGUUAUUCUUAGCUAAGGUUAUGAAAGCUGAUUCUAAAGGGGAUUCGAAGAUAGAGGAGUUGCUUCUUAGGAUUGUGGAUAAUGUCAGAGCUUGUGAGACAUUCCCGUGGGGACGUUUUUCUUUUGAGCAGUGUAUGGAAGGGGUGCGGAGAGUAAUGAAGAACAUGAAAGGUGUGGUGAAACCCAAGGCACAAACUGCUUUUUAUGGAUUUAUUACUCCACUUGAGGUAAGUAGUCGAGUAAAUUAUAUGAGUGGCUAGAUUUUGUUAUUGUGAACUUGCAUUUACUUUUAUGUUUUUGUGUCUAGAUUCUGGCAUUUGAGUGCAUUCCGCAGCUUGGGAAGAGAUUUAGAGAAGCUGUACCUGCAGACAAGGAAUGUCCAAGAAUGUGCAAGCACAAGUUCAGUGAAAGUUGCAUGAAGGGAUUUACUUUGGAAGAAAUAAAUGAAGCACUUGGAGAUAUAACGGUUAGCUUUGUUCUCUUGAAAUCUAUGUUUAUAAUCUUUGUGGUGUUUGAAAUAUAUGUUUACUUGACAGGAUAUUUCAAGCAUCUUGGAACCUGAUAUGGAUGAGAGAAAAAUGUUGUCACGCGUUGUAGAGAAGCAUGUUGAUGAUGGUAUUGGAUAUAUCGAUCCGAUUGUUGAUAGUUGGAGAGAGGCUUAUCGUAGAGAAAAAGAAGAUUUUCUGGCGUAGUCUCUACCAAGCGGACAUUGAUGUAGACGUAUUGAAACUGUUGAUGAUGUUCCAGCUGUACCUGAACCUGAAAUCCCUGGGACAUCGAUUCUCUCGUUCAAGGAAGCUAUGGAGAGAGGAUUUGACAAGCUCACGGACAAGCUUGCUGUGAUGGAUAGCGAAAUCAAGCGGAUUUGUGUGAGAGUACAAGGAAUAGAGGAAUAUGUGGCAGAUCAGCUUGAGAAAGAGGCAGAAAAAGACAAAUAUGAAGAUAUGCGUCCUGGUUCAGCUGCUGAUUUUGUGCCACCGUCUUAUCAGCCAAGGGAUACUCAGAGCAAGGCCUUGGUUAUUCACAGUGGAAUCCGUGACCCAGCACCUCCAACUAUUGAGUCUCUAAGUGAGUUUUUGUUGAACUUUUGUGUAGUGAUGCUUUCACAAUAGUUCUUAGAUGUUUGGUUACAUAUUUUUGUAGGUGAUGGCAGCGAUGAGUCCGAUGAAGAGGAUAAGAAGAAGAAGAAGAAGAAGCAGAUAUCGAAGAAGAAGAGAAAGCAUGUUGGUCCUACUCUGGAAUCUGGGGAAAAACGUGGAAGGAAACCUUCCAAGUAUAAGGGGGAAGAGUUUACAACUGAGGGGAAGCAAACGAGAAAGAGACAGAAGAAUUAGGACUUUGAAAAUUCUUUCUUGCUUAUGUGUGUGUGUGGACUCUUAGGUGUCUGUCAAAAUAGGACUUUCUUUUUGUGUAUUUGGGAAUGUUAUGCGUAGUUUAUGUGUAGAGGACAAACUUAUUUUCUGAAAUGGUUUAUGUGUGUUAGGAUUUUAUUAAAAUCAAAACGUUUGGCUAAGUUGUCCCGGUUGGCCGGUCAAUAAUACAAGAGUAGCUAAGUUGUCCCAGUUGGCCGGUCAAUACACAUAACUUAAAAUACAAGAGUAGCUAAGUUGUCCCAGUUGGCCGGUCAAUACACAACUUAAAAUACAAGAGUAGCUAAGUUGACCCAGUUAGCCGGGACACCCAGAGACAGAGUAGCUCGUCAGCUCUUCAAGCUCCUUAGCUCGUCCUCAAGCUCCUCAGUUCGUCCUCAAAGCUCCUCAGCUCGUCUUCAAGCUCUUCCCAUCACAGCGACCAUCUCCUCGCCUAGCUGUCAGCUAGUCAGCUCGUCCGACUCCUCGUCUAGCUAUCAGCUCAUCCCUCAACUACAAAACUCAUCUACCUCCUCGCCUAGCGGCAGUUCGUCCAUUGACUGCAUAGUCCACCUAUCUCGUCGCCCAGCUCGUCUAUACCUUCAGCAGACAACUCGGUUUGUCCAAUUCGCCUCUCUACCACGGUUCAUCCAGCUCGUCCGAGCUCACUUAUUCUAAUAUGAACUACGUGUGGCUUGAUCCCAUUUUUCGUACUUGUGUGAUUCGUGCAUCAACAUUUUCGUACACAUAACUUAAAAUACAAGAGUAGCUAAGUUGUCCCACUUGGCCGGUCAAUACACAACUUAAAAUACAAGAGUAACAUAUUUAGGUUCAAAUGUCAUACACCAUCCUCAAUAACAUAAAUCACAUCAUAAUCACCAUGUAGAAAGUAAUGCCCUAAGCCUAUCAAUCUCGACUUCUUUGGCGAGUAACCUUUCUUUAAGGGUUUCAAUUUCGCCUUGCAUGAGAUGAAUAGUUUCCCGGAUGGACUCCAAAGCAUGAUUGCAUGCUAGUUGUCCAUGUCUUAGUGCGGAAUCAAGUUUGUGAUUUACCUUCUCAAGCUCCUCAGUUACCGCCUGAUCCCACCACUGAAUAAGGUGGUUUCGGGACUCGUACUCUUCAGCCUGCGAAAGAGAGAAGACUUCAUAAAUAUAAUUCACUUGUACUUUGUUGUUCCAAUGAAAUGAAAACACAAUAACUUACUUUAAGCAUUGGGCAUUUGUAGACUCUGUCGCCUUGCCUGUAACCAGUUUUGCACACUUCAAGUUUUACAGGCUUACCACAAAAACAUUUUUCUGGAACCCCCCAAUUUGCAUCGGCAUUCGCCUCUCCACUAUUCCAACUAGCUUCGGACGUGGAUGGUUGAGAGUAACUAUAGGGCAUCUACAGAACAGAGAAAGAAAGAGAUAUGAAUCAUGAACGCUAUAAACCCUAGAUCUACUAAUUACGGCGGCUAGAAACCCGUAAGAAAGCCUAGAUCUACUAAUUACGGCGGCUAGAAACCCGUAAGAAACCCUAGAUCUACUAAUUACGGCGGCUAGAAACCCUUUAGAAGAAGAGAGAAGAACGAGAGAGAGGAAGAACUCCAGUGCAUGUAAUACCUUGGUUGUCGACAGCUAGGCGAGGAGAUGGUCGCUGUGAUGGGAAGAGCUUGAAGACGAGCUGAGGAGCUUUGAGGACGAUCUGAGGAGAGAAGUGAAGAAGAGAGAAGAACGAGAGAAGCGAAAUAGAAGAGAGAGUGAGAAUAAAUAGGUAGAAACUUUGUAGUGUGAACGCAAUAAUCGUAGUGUGAACGCGACUUCGUGGGGUCUAUUUUUAAAAAA
rnacentral:sRNA from 1 species